rnacentral:rRNA from 1 species
ACAUCCAGAGAACUUGGCAGAGAUGCCUUGGUGCCCUUCGGGACCUCUGAGACAGGUGCUGCAUGGCUGUCGUCAGCUCGUGUUGUGAAAUGUUGGGUUAAGUCCCGNAACGAGCGCAACCCCUAUCCUUUGUUGCCAGCGAUUCGGUCGGGAACUCAAAGGAGACUGCCGGUGAUAAACCGGAGGAAGGUGGGGAUGACGUCAAGUCAUCAUGGCCCUUACGAGUAGGGCUACACACGUGCUACAAUGGCGCAUACAAAGAGAAGCGACCUCGCGAGAGCAAGCGGACCUCAUAAAGUGCGUCGUAGUCCGGAUCGGAGUCUGCAACUCGACUCCGUGAAGUCGGAAUCGCUAGUAAUCGUAGAUCAGAAUGCUACGGUGAAUACGUUCCCGGGCCUUGUACACACCGCCCGUCACACCAUGGGAGUGGGUUGCAAAAGAAGUAGAUAGCUUAACCUUCGGGAGGGCGUUUACCACUUUGUGAUUCAUGACUGGGGUGAAGUCGUAACAAGGUAGGCGUAGCGAG